CAUCACUCAAGUUUGUGCUCUCCCAGAAGUGAACAACUUUGUGAGGUUUAAAAUAGACAUGAACAAACAGCAGGCAAUUGCAGCCCAUCAUGAAGUGUACUUUGCAGGAACCUGUGGUGAUGGAUGGUGUUCCUUUGUGGUGAGCCUGCUUGGCCUCUACAUUCGAAAUCUUCCACUCCUUCCCUUACAGCGAGUACUUUGGUUAUGACCUGAAUAUUGUCUAAUUGUUUAUUCCUGUUCUACUUGAAGUGUAAACUUAUUUUUGCUGUGUAUU
rnacentral:lncRNA from 1 species